GCCCCGUCUACCUUGUCCUCGAUGUUUCCUGUUACCUCCUGCUCUGAUCCUUGUGUUUCCCUGGGUAGGCUUUCUGUGGGGUCUGUUACUGGGUAUCGGAGCUAUAUAGCUUCACCGACCGUAUACCAUGAUCUGAGCAGAGAGCAGCAGGCUUGGAGGCAAAUUAGUGUGGUACUUGAGGUUUGGGCUUCAACAAAAAAGGGCAGUCAGGUGCACCUCGCGUUUUCAACCUGCAAAAAGCACUCUGUCUGUCUGAUCUGGGCCUAACUGAUGAUCUCAGCCCCCCUGCCUUAAAAAGUGUGACAAUGCAGAUGGGGAGCGGAUACUCAGAAGCAGAGAACACCAGGGUCGCAGGGGGCUGGAGUUGACAUUGGGCAAGAGGCGAGGUACACCCUGGACAGGUCGCUAGUCAAUCACAGGGCUGACACAGAGACAGACAGAGCCAGUGGCGGCUGGUGACUCCAAAAAUUGGGGAGGACAGGAGGAAAACCAAACCACGGUGUCAUGUCAUUUUAUUUAGUUAUUUGUCUUAUUUUGCACUUGUAUACCUCCAUUUUUUUGUAUGGGCUCAGGGCUGCUUGAUAUAUGUGCUCUUGUGUUCCUAAUGUUUGUAUGUCAUAUGAGGGGGGCUUACAUGGGAUUUAGAUUUUAACAUUUUUAUUCUGUAAAUCUUUUUAAUCUUGAAAGCACUUUGGGCCCUAAGUUUGACAAGUGCUAUAAAAUGAUUAUUCAUAUUAUUACUAAACUAGUUGCCUAGGCUACUUAUCUCUACUUUCUGAUGUAAAAUUAAACAUGUAUUAAACAAUGGCU